rnacentral:lncRNA from 1 species
GACACACAGCCCAUCUCCAGCAGAGCGGGAAAACCUUGAGACGGCAUUGUCUUAAAGGUAGACUUUGAUCCCAAACUUGAGUCCUUUUCCAUUGCGACGCUAACUCGAAGGACAGGAUCUCCAGGUCUCUGUGGAUGAUCUCCCUGUCUCUGCUUGAGAGAAAACAGUUUGGGUGGUGUUUAUGCAUCGGUCUACAAAAUGAGAUUCUGAAAAUCUUUCUCCAUAAAGUGAAUUGUCUUUACCCCUGACGCUUCUCCUGAGACCUCUUAUUCGGUGAGUGAAUUGACAAGAGGGGUGUUAGAUAAGGGAUUUCG